rnacentral:rRNA from 1 species
GACAGAGGAGCCAAGCGUUGUCCGGAUUGACUGGGCGUAAAGCGCACGCAGGCGGAUGCGCGCGUGGGGUGUGAAAUCUGGCCGCUUAACGGCCAGGCGCCAUCCCAUACGGCGCGUCUGGAGUGAUGCAGAGGUCGAUGGAAUUGCCGGUGUAGUGGUGAAAUGCGUAGAGAUCGGCAGGAACCCCCAGGGGGAAACCAGUCGACUGGGCAUCUACUGACGCUGAGGUGCGAGAGCGUGGGGAGCGAACCGG